rnacentral:lncRNA from 1 species
GGAAAAUACAAACAGUUCACAGAAGAGGCCUUGAAAGAUCUAAUACUGUAUUAUGAAUAUUUUCAUGCAGAUAGUGGGCGUGGAUGUGGGGCAAGGUAAAAUAAUACAAGUCUAUCAUUUUCUAGGUCAAUAACAAAGAUGAAUUGAAAAAAGACUCCCAAACAAUAUAUUGGUGACAAAUCUUGCAAUAUACACACGUUUUAAGUCAAAAGAUAGUAUGUUGUGUGCAGUUUUACUGUUUUCCAAUUCAAAAGUCAUUCAAAUGCAGAAACUUAAUGUACAUUUGCCAUUCACACUGAACACUAACACUAAUUGACUAUUUCAAUUGAUAAAAUCUUCUUAUCUGACACUUAUGGACGAAUUUUAACCAAACUUUAGCUGAUUGAUUUUUCAUGCUUGGCUGCCAUGGCUAAAAAAAGAAAAUGAGUGCUUGUCAAUAUCUGGAAACCCAUAAUUGGUAGAUGUAAUCUAAUGUUGCAGAACAAUUUGCUGAAAAAGAACAUCUAUUUAUCUACCUCAUUUAUCUUGAAAACUGUAAAUACUGUUAAGCAGAAUUUAUUGACAAGGAAAGGUUUUUCACUUUAAAUGUCAAAUUAAACCUUUUUUUGAAAUUUUUGAUAAAUUCUUGAAAAAUAGAAAGGAUUGAGAAAAAUUGCAAAGGUUAUUUACUAUUUAUUUAAGUUCUACAAAAACAAGCAUAACUAAAUGCAAUAGAUAUUUCUCCAGGUUAACAACUCAGAUUCAUAGAAGCCUCUUGUUUGUUUUCCCAGUUGAGUUGUCUAAGACUGAGAAUUUCAUCAGAAGAAAUAUUACCUGCUUUAUACAAUGAAUAUUUCUAUUUCAGUCACCAGACAGGAUGGACAGCAUUGAUUACAGAAAUAUUAUAUAAACUUUACAGUUGAAUAGAAGACUGUUACUUCCACUUAUGGACAACUGAUUAUAUAUCCUGCUUGUACCAUACUGGCGUGCAUGAUGAGCCUGUUUUGUAAUUUGCUGUAUUACAAAGGAACAGUUUACAGAAAGACAAGUCAUCCUACUGCAUUCAAUAUUGUGGAACCAACCAGGU